rnacentral:lncRNA from 1 species
UGGCAAGGAUGAUGGGAGACCCAGAGGAUGCUUAAGGUCGAGAAGGAUGCUAGAGAAGGCUGGAGCUCUCGGGGAAGAAGAAGGGACCGAAGGACUCUCUCAGACAGGGUGAAACCCCUAAGGAGGAAGACGUGUUUAAAUAGGCAACAGGACCUGGAGCGGUUAUGAUCACGGAUCUCCUCUGACCGGCCUGUACCUGUCGCGUGUCCCACUCACUU